AGGGUAAGAAAAUACUAGUACCAAGUAGCUAUGCUUAUGUUUUUGCAAGAUUUCCAUCGGUCAUUAACUUGAUUUUCUUAUUUUUCAAUAGAAAUAUCAUACGAUCUCCGUAAAUGAAUAGUAUGGAUUAUAGGAUGAAUUACAAAUGUUUGCCUGGUUGACAAUUAUUGUUUGCAGAGGACAAGGCAAAGGAACCCGAACAAUAUGGAGGUCGGUGUCGUUAUGGCUGCUGUGGUCGUCGGGGCCCCUAUGGUUGUAGUAAGUGCUGCAGAACAGGUAAUAGUUGCACCAUUCAAAGAAACAGGAUUUAAAUGCGUGAACAGUAUUUGUAACUUAAAAAGUUGUGUUGUCCAUGUAGCUAAUGAAGCUGAAGCAACCCAAGUAAACGCUGACAUCAAUGGCAAUGAAGGCGGUGGACAUGGUGGUGGCGGCGGCUAUGGAGGUGGUGGCGGCGGACAUGGUGGUGGCGGCGGCUAUGGAGGUGGUGGUGGUGGCAGCGGAGGUGGUCAUGGUGGGGGAGGUGGUCAUGGUGGUGGAGGUGGAUAUGGUGGGCACUGCAGGUACGGCUGUUGUGGUGGCUAUGGCAAAUAUUGCAGGUGCUGCUACAACCCUGAAGAAGCUCAAGCUUUUGUACAAAAUGAGAACUGAGCCAAGCCAUAAAUCAAGGAAACUUCCAUGUACAAGUUUGCGUGAAUAACUACAUGGUUGAAUGUUGAUCUUAUGACAAAAAUAAAAUACUUAGUACAUGUGCUUCUGUGCUUAGCACAUAUGUAAGGAAUAAAAAGUUUCAGUCAUCAUUUGAUGAUGUGAAUUUCAACAAGUGUCCUUCAAUCCCAUGCCUGGAUUUUUUUUUUUUUUUUUUUUUUUAAAUUUGACAUCUGCUACUUGUCAUGUUUGUCUUUGCUCUUAACAUUUGCACUUGAAUGCUCCAGUCAAAAUUUAAGUAAAUUUGUGAAAUAAAUAAAAAUAGCAACACCAGACCAAUCAUUCAUGAUAGAAGUAGGAAGUAGGAAGCCAGAGAGAUAAUUGGAAAGUACACUCGAUUAAAGAAAAAACAACGAAAGCCACAUAAAAUCAGAAAAAAAAAAUUAAAUCGAGUGUAAUUGGCAGGGUACGUAUUCAUGCCACUGAUGGAGGCAAUGUAGUUGCAGGAAUUGCUGGCUUUGUGGGCUAUGACCAUAUAGAGUUGUAAGUAAUUUCUCACAGUAAAUGUUCUGCUUGUUCGUGGAAACAAGAGAACUAAAGCAUCAUCAGGUUUGACAAAUGCAAGUGCACAUCUUUGGACUUGGGAGUUGGGAGGACUCGGGAGCUAAUACCUACAUAGAAAAUGGGCGAUGGAUGAAGAAAGGUGCUACAGACUUUUUAUGUCCUCCAAUGUGGGUGGCAGAAUACACUUUCCUUGAAGUUGAUCAGCGAGAUUACUUUUGUGAUUGCUGAAAUUCAUGACAAAACGGUUCAACAUCUUCAAUCACAAAUUCGUCGAACUGCAAUUAUAAUCUCAUUGGACCAAACUCGAGUAAGCAAAUCAAAUCAAAUCGCUAAUGUCACUUCUUCCAAGUAGCGCUGACAUUCUAAGAUUGACAAGGAAAUGCAGGCUUUGACUCAUCAUUUACUUAAAGCAGGAUACAACAGCAAAAGAAAUCCAGAAGCAAAGAAUAUGAAACUAACCUGAAAACAAAGAUUUAGUAUUUCACAUUUAGAACAGUUACACGCAAAUCAAAAACAUUUUUGCUGCAUUGGGUCGGUGAACAUCCGUACAAGCAUGUGUUACAACAAGAUGUAUACAGUCUCAGGAGUCAUGCUACUAAAGUUUGAUGCCCGAUGCUCUCAGAAGAUAAAAUGGAACUCAGACACGUCGCUGAAGACUGGAGAGUCACUCAUCACUCAAAUGGUGGUCUUCUUAGACAAAGAAAUACCAUUAUCACAGCUGUUUAAGUAAAAUCCAACAGUCAAAGGCAACCAAAAAUAGUUAAAAUGAGGCAUAAAACAAAUAGAUUUCACAUCAGACUUCAACGACACUACUUGUAAGCUUGCAUUUCUGCAAAAGUGACUUAAGAAAGGGUGCCGGAUGAUAUGUUUGAGAAACCAAAGAUUGCAUUAGUUAAAUCCGCAUUUAAAUGCACAUUAUAUACUUAGCCAGUCGUAUUGACCAUCCCAAUUAGUCACGAGAAUCAUACAACUCAAGGCUGAUUAUCAAAUCAAAAGGAGUGGUUUGAAAACACAAAAUUUGGAAAAGAUGGCCAAUGGAAAUGUGGUUACAAGUACGAUUGAAUAUGAGAAACAUAACAAACUUGAUAGAUCUUCCUGCUGAAGUUAUUUGCUUUUCUUUUAAUUAGUUCAUAAAAUGUUAUUCGACUAUAAUAGUCAGCAGAAAGACAUCCAGAAAUUUUCUCACUCCAUAAUUGAAUUUAAGAAAAGAAAUUUAUACUAUAAGUUAAGUCUAUGCCAAUGAACAAGUUGCACAAAAUUAGUCCUUAAAUAACUGAAACACGGCAAGAUAUAUUUAUGAAAUACACCAUACUUGCAAGUAAGCUUAGUCAAUUUAAACAAGAAGAAGCAUCAGAUAAAUAAGAUCGUUUAAUAGUAAGAGGCAAAGGAAAGAAUAUUACCCAUGAUGCGAGCCUUAAGGGUGAUGAGGUUGCAGUCUCUUCAGAAAAAAGGGUCAUACUAAAGAACCAGAAGAGUUCUUAAGCCUUGUCUUAGCGCUUGAAAAAAACAAUAUCUCUGCCGCAGCUAACUUUGAUAGCUUCCUCCAAACUCUCCAUCUGAUCAAAAUCAACUUUGAAGGUUACCAUGGUAACACCAUCUUUUCCAGUGUCAUAAUCUUGCUUAAUGUCUUCAGCCCGAAAUGAUUGUAGCUGCAAGAUACACAAAUGGUGUAUUUGUGAGACAACUGUUUACGAUGUUGAGAUGCACUAAUCACAACCUCAUCAAACAAGUCAAUGCAUUGAUGACAUUUAGCAAACUGGUAAUAUAUGAAAAACUGACGUAUGCUCCACAUGUCAAAAUGACAAUCAAAACAUGAUUUGUCAUGACAAUAUUUGACAGUUAAUUAGCCAGCAACACAACCAGAAGAGAACUUAUAAAUCCUCUGAAUCUUACCUGAUGGUAGAGAACCCCCAAAAGGUCAUAUGGAAUCUCCAAGCCCAUUGGAACCUACAAAUCAAGAUCCUUGUCACAAUAUUUAAUUCAUGAAGCAGAUUUCAAUGUGCAAAGUACGAAGUGGAAAAGAAACUUAUAGAAUUAGACUACUAUUGAUUCAAUAGGCACAAGUUUUAGAGAAUGUAAAAGCCAGCAAGGAUGAGUUGUUACUUUGGACUUGACAAGACAAGUGGGGGCAUUUCUCAAACAAUCAGCAGCAACCCCUCCAUAAGCCCUGACUAAACCUCCGGUGCCAAGUUUAAUACCUCCGAAGUACCUAAAUUAUGAAAUGCAAAAAGAUGAACAUCUUGAAUAGCUUCUCUCCCUAGAUAGAAAAGCCAAAUAACAGACUAAUGGAUGUCAAAAACUUAAUGCAUGUAUCAAAAAAUGAAAAUUGUUACGUAAAAACAACACUCUCUACAUUUCAUUCACAAAAGAAACAUUUGAAUCAGAGCCAAAGGGAAAAAAGCAAUAGCAUGGCCCCAAAAAAUGUGCAACAUUUGUCUACCUGAUCACGACUACCAUAACUCUAUCAAUCCCAGAAGAUUCAAUUGCAGAAAGUAUUGGCUUGCCUGCUGUACCAGAUGGUUCACCGUCAUCAUUACUCCGAAACUGAUCCCCAACCUAGAAUUCACAAAUAACUGCAUUUGCGUCGAAAACAACCAACAAACAAAAGGGGCAAAGAGAAAUAAAAGCCUCAUAAUUGAUUCAAGUACCCCAAGAAUCACUAAUAACUAUCAUACCGGAAAAGAUCAAAUUUUGUACCUUAUAUGCCCAACAAUUAUGAGUAGCCUUGGGGUCACGAACCUUAUUUCCAAACAAAACAAAAAAUAAGUCUUUAAUGGCAAAAAUAAAAAAAUAAAAAAAACCAAAAGUAAAAUGCAAGAAAGAAGAGAGGAAGGAGUGAUUAUUAAUACCUCAGUGAGGAAGGCCUGAGCAGAGCGUUCAUUAGAGAUGGUGCCAGCAAUGGCGAUAAAUUUACUCUUCUUUAUCUCUGUCUGAAAUGUGACCCUUUCUUUAAUUGUGGUAAAGGCACCACCUUUUUUAUUAUUAUUGGGAUUAGAAUCAGACGCAGUGAUGCUAUUGCUGCUAAUGGUGGCCAUUGGCGUUAGAUAAAUACAGGGUUUUGUCUGAAUUACGGAGAACGAGGGAAGAAAACGGUGACGGUGAUUCUGAAGAUUGUGAUGGAGAAGAAGGGCUUUGUUCAGAUUCUUGAAAGGGAUUGAGAGAAUCCGCAUAGAAGCAGCCGCCUGCAUCAGCAAAAACCUUAAUUUCUUUCCAUCUAAAACGUUGUCGUGAUGGUGGAAUUCGAUUAAGGUUUCGUUCUUUGUUUUUUAUGCUCAAUUUUGAGGACAGAAAAAUAUGCAAGCAACAAAAUAGUCUUUAGGAUUAUAGAGCACGCUUUAAAAUAUGCAAGCAACAAAAUAUUCUUUAGAAACAUCGAGGCGUGGAACUCUUGAGUAUUAUAUGGGACGCUUUAGAUUGAGGGCGCAAAAGGAUGGGGAUAUUUGGGGGAAAAAAAAAAAAGUUACCCCACAUUUGUGAUUUGUUACUCGAAUAGACAAAAUUUGGAAAAUGCACUUCCAUCCAUUAAAAAGUAACUUUAAGAAGUUAGCCUAGAACGACAUAUGCAUAAUUUGGCUUAAAUACCUACAUUUUGAGAAUUUCCUUGAAAAUGUUAUUUGCGCCAUUUCUGUUAAUUACACUCCCACUAUUAUUUUAAUCAUAUAAUUUUUGUUUGUUAGAACAUAUAAUAAAACAAAUUAUGCUAGUGCAAGUAACAAAAAAUGAGUGCAAAUAAUAUUUCUCUUUUCCUUUUGCUCAAGUUAUGCAAGUAGUAUUUCCUCUGUCAACGAGCAAUUCUUAGGUUUUUUAAUGAAGGACAACAAAAGUAUGAAAAUACAUAUUCAAAUGAUGUCCAUGCCAAAAUAAGAAGACCACCAUGCAAAGAAAUAUGUCAUUGUGAAUUUUAAUAUUAAAUUAUCAAGGCUUACUGCAAAAUAAAAUGUAAAAGAUCAAUAUGAUGUUAAGAGAUGUGAUUCGCUAACUAAAGGUUUUUUCAUGAUUAAAUUGGAUUGGCACUCCUCAAAAAUGCCCCUUUUCAAUCCAAAAGUCUCAUACUAAAUAUGAAAAUAAAAAAAAAAAAACAAACUAAGAUGAUGGUCUUUUCAUUCGAACCUUCAUUUUGUACUAAACAUAGAACUAGAAAUAAGUUAUAAAAACAUGAUCUAUUCAAGUUUAUGUGAAAAAAGUAAAUUUUUCACAAAAAAAUUUUGCAUGUGCUGAUGAGCCAAAAUAAGCAAAAUACCACACUUUCCUAGUAAAUCAAGCACAAAUGCAAGGAAUUGUUUUUGCUUUCUAAUACUAUUGAAAACUAUAAUUUUUUAUUCGCUUCGCUGUCUCCAUCCCCAACGUCGCUUUGGCCGAGUGGUUAAGGCGUGUGCCUGCUAAGUACAUGGGGUUUCCCCGCGAGAGUUCGAAUCUCUCAGGCGACGACUCUUUUACCUUUUCGGCUUCCGUUUGCUCUUACAAUCUCACCGACUACUUUCUAGUAGUUCUUCACUUUUGACCGUUAAACACUUGUUCUUUCUCCGGCUUUCAAGUCAAGACAACUUUUCGUCCACAUUAAUCGGAGAACCUGAAAUGGGAACUGGAAGGGGACCUCACCGGAGAAAGUCAAUGACCACCUCUCCCUCUGUGGCUCUGUCCCCCUCCCCCAUAUAUACCUCUUCUGACUUUUGAAUUGUCUCAAGACCGACCCUAACGCGGUGACUCGGCCAUCCCUCCAACCAGUUUGGUGAACUGGGCAAUCCAGCCAACAACAACUCACCAAUCAAUAAGUCCAAUGCAUUAGGUCCACCCUCUUGACACGUAGCAUUUUCUUUUUUUUUUUUUUCAAGAAAAAUGUUUGGGUACAUUCAGCUCCAAUCAAUACUGGUGUAUACCUCCCGAACCAUAGAUCGCUUACAGAAAUUUUUACAGAUCGCCUACCAACACAGUUUUCACAUUGGCGGCGGGAUUCGCAUACAUAAUCUUUUGUAAAAAAGUGAUUCAUUCUUAUUAAUUGGACCAACUUGUGUAAAAAAGUGAUUCAUUCUUAUUAAUUGGACCAACUUGUGUUGACAUAGCCUUUGUUGUUCAUGAAAAAGGUUGCAUUUCCUUUCAAGUCUGGAGUAGUGACUUAUGGGAAUUGGAAAAUAAGGGUGCAUUUAAUAAAAUUGAAAUUUGAGAUUUGAAAUCUAAAAUCUAAAUUUAGCAAAUUACUAAAUUAUUAAGUACCAAAUUUAAUAGUACAUUUGAGUGUAUGUCACAUUAAGUGAUAAGUGAAUAGCUUAUCACUUAUUUUUUUUAUCCAAAUUUUGUCUUAAAAAAUUCAGCGUCAUUUAAUUAGUUCAAAUAUUUUAUUUUUAGUUAUCAAACGUGUCGAAAUAAGUUAAAAUUUGAAUACACUAAAUUUAAGUGAUGAAUUAGGUUAGCAAACACGGUGGAGUCAAGCUUAACAUUUGGCUGCAAUCAAAGGGUUAACGGCCCCGUCAGUCUAUGACCAUAUUUAAUUUCAAUGAUAAUGUGAACGACUAACAUAUUUUAUCAGCCUCAUUUUUUCUCAAACUUUUUGACAGUUGCCAUUAGCCUCAUCUACCUGAUGGAAUUGGUGUCCUUUAACGUGGUCAAGUGACGUUUUCUUCUUCCAUGGGCCAAUUACUUGGGAAUUUUUUUUCUUUAAUUAUAUGAUUAAAAUUAACACACAAUAAUGACAACAAUACUGAGCACACACAGAUUAAAACUGAUCAACAACAUUACAGCUAAUAACAUUAGAAAAUGUGGGAUGGUAACUAAUAAAUUCACAUUCAGUGAGAUUUAAACCCAAGAUUUGUUUAUUUACAUGAUUUAUAAAUCGUCUCUAUUAAAUUAACCUUUUUAAGUUAGCAUGGCAAAUAAUCAUCAAGCGAUCUGUGUAUCUACAUGAGCAGAAAUUUUACAAAACCAUUAUUUGAAUUACUCUAUAUGCAUAUGUUUUGAUGCCCUCAAAUUGUUCAGAAUACUUCAAUAAACAACCUAUUCAGUCGACACAUUUUUCAGUAUUCAGUAUUUCCAAUCCUUGUGAUAAGGUGGUUAACUGAAGGGUAGAUAUUAAAGUUCUCUUGAUUAAUAUUGAUUAAGUGCAUAAGCAUAUUAUUCUUUCAUCAAAUCCAAUAAAAAAAAUUCCUUAAUCACGCGUUAUAGUGACAUUAGGGUACCCCAAAAAAAAAAAAAAUGAAUCGAAUAUUGAAGCUGUUGAUUUGCAGCAUGGACUCGUUGAGGUUAGGUCGGAGGUUUGCUCAAGGGAGGUAAUAUCUUAGGUAGUGGCUGGAGGACCGGGCGCGUCAUCUAGAUGCAGGAGUUGAGGAGAAACUUUAAAUCAGUGAUGGAAAUUUGAUGCCAAAUAAUGGCCUUAAUUAGUUCUCUUCAUGGUGCUCAGUAUAUUUUUCGUCUAUAACGAACAUAUUCAGAUGCAUGAAUUUAAUUAUGAUGCGACUUUGGGCAGUCUUUCAUGGAUUGCCUGCUAUCAUAAGUAGCAAUUAGUUAUUGAACAGGAAUUGGACUUUUAACUUCUACUAGAGAAAUGCUUUUAAGACGUUAUUGUUUUCAGGUUCAGAUAUCUAUUGUAGAGAAGAUUACUUGACGAUCUAGUAAUUAACUGGAAGAUCUUAAGAAAAAAAAAAAAGAUCAGCUAGCUACUAUAAAUGGUGAAAUUUAAAAAGCGCGGAGAAAAAAGAAAAAUUUAAAUUCAAUAUCUCUAAAUCCUGAAAUCUCAACUUUAUUCAGCAUUGAAAAAUAAUUGUUCGAGAAAUUAUUACGUGUAAAACAUACAUUCAACAGUCAGAAACUCGAUCGUGUGUGUUGACUGGUCAAAAAUAUCUUUAGGGCAGGUCAGAAGAACAUGCUGUUGACUCUUGGCUCUUCUAUCUUGAUUGGGCCAAGGUGGGAAUCCGAUAUUAUUCCACUCUCUGUUCUUUUCUUUUGGCAGAGAAUCGUAUGCAUGAUAACAAAGCGGGUAUGCAGGCUUUGGGUCUGGGGAGGAAAGAAAAGAUGAAAAAUAAAAGAAGAAUGCGUCACGCUCUGACUUGGUUCCCAAAGGCAUCCAUUAUUCAGCUGGAACUCUGCUCUGGUCAAAUUUGCGCUGUGUAGACUACGCAGUAUUGUUCCAACCAUUCCAAGUCGUAAUAAAGCAACUUGUUGGACAACAAUUUCUAUUUUGUGGACGUAAUUCAUCAUGUAAUCAUUAGCAACCCUUCCAGAUUAUGGAGAGCUAAACAAAGUUGUGGUUUCAAUUACCUUCUUAUCUUUCUAACUAUUAUUUUUUAUUUCACAUACCUUACAUGCUAAUAUAACAGGUGCUACAAUAUUUUUUUUUAAAAAAAUAUUUCAAAUAAUCUCCGAUCCAAAAUUAUUAAUUUGGAUAGAAGAGGGAUUUAAAGGUAAGAAUGUGCGACACUUUAUUCUUUUUUAUUCUGGGGUUUAGGAGAGAAAUUGAGAAUUAUAUUUACUUUGCUUGGAAGUUAGUGUAUGAAAGAGAAAUGAAGCAUCCAAAUUAUUCUGACUUUCUCUACCUGUUAAGCAAGAGGUUUACUUUUUUUUUUUUUUUGGUCUACUUUUUUCAAGUUGAGAAACUUGUACAUGUCCAUAAUUACUCGAAAACUUGCAAGGAAACUAUCUUAAGGAAAAAGAGCCAAAAUAGGUAAGUUGCCAAAGCAAAUGGUGCAAAUAUUUGCUAAUUACCUUUCUAGCUCUCGUUGUAUCCACAAUUCACGAGUUCCAAUAAUAAUAAAAAAAAAUAAAACAACAAAAAUGAAUACAAAAUUGAAGUUUUCUAAGACAUUCAUUGAUACUCGAUAACACAUCUAAAUUUCAUCUAACAUAUCGCGCGUGUGCAUGUAUAUAUUGAUAAUUAUUGCCUUCCCUUCUCCUAUUUAUAUAUAUUUUUUAAUUAAUUUUAUUUUUUAAAAAAUUUAACACUUGAAUUAUAUUUUAAAAUGUGCCUAUUGGACACCCGUUAGAUAUAUCCUUAAAAAAUUGCAAAAAGCAAAAAGUUACAAAAGUGUUAAAGGCAUUAAAGAAAAAACUUUGUUGGCCACAGCCCGCAACAACACGAAUUCAUGAAUUCUCGUACUGACCCCCUUAUUCUUCUUUAACAGUAACCAAUAACCUUAGAACUCCGCCAGUUGGCCAAUUUGCAAAGCGCAGGAUGUGGUAGCGUUCUAUUAGGUCAUUAGACAAUUAGUCUCUGACCCCAUAACCGCGUAAACAAAUUCAACCUAAAUUCUACUACUACGCAAGAAACUUCCUUCAUUUCCCAUUUUCAUUUUCCUUUCGUUUCCUUUUUCCUAAAAAUAGUUCCAAUUUCCCCCACUAUAUAUAUGUAAACCUUUCUCCUCCCUUCCCCCUCAAACCAUCAAUCACUUCAAUUUUCUUUCCCCUUUUACCAGCACAUGUCUCAGAGACCCAACGUCCCACACUUCUCCUCCGUCGCCUGCGGCCUCCAUUCCCAUCUCCUGGUUUCCAGUGAGAUGUCCUCUAAUUCCAACUGGUCUUCUUCUGCUCGUACCUUGUAGCUAUUCCACCACCUAGUCUUUUUCCUUAAAUACCCCACAAAAUUAAAAAUUAAAAACCACACACACACUAAACCCAAACAAACAAGGAGAAGAAAGGAAUCAAGAAAAACGCUACUCAUUUUUUCUGAGUUCAACAAAAGAAGAAAAUAUGGGUUUGAAAGGCUUUCUUGAAGGAGGCAUAGCUUCAAUAGUGGCUGGAUGCUCCACCCACCCGCUGGACCUCAUCAAGGUCCGAAUGCAACUUCAGGGAGAAUCCCCCGUCCCCAAACCGGCUGCUCAAGCGCUCCGACCAGCUCUAGCCUUCCACCCUGCAGCUGGUCAGGUUUCUCAUCCUCACAUUCACGUCCCUUCUCCAUCUCUUCGUCCGCCGCCGCCCCGCGUGGGACCCAUUGCCGUGGGAGUCAAGAUUGUCCAGCAAGAAGGGGUCGCCGCGUUGUUUUCCGGCGUCUCCGCCACCGUCCUCCGCCAGACUCUUUACUCCACCACCCGCAUGGGACUUUAUGAUGUUCUGAAGCAAAAAUGGACCGACCCACAUACCAACAAGAUGCCUCUGGAUAGAAAAAUCGCUGCUGGGCUCAUCGCCGGCGCGGUUGGAGCGGCCGUCGGGAACCCCGCUGACGUGGCCAUGGUCCGCAUGCAAGCCGAUGGUCGGCUCCCGGUGGAUCUGCGGCGCAAUUACAAGAGCGUGGUUGACGCGAUUGGUCAAAUGGCUAAAACCGAGGGAGUUGGCAGCCUGUGGCGCGGUUCAUCCCUUACGGUGAACCGCGCUAUGGUGGUGACGGCAUCACAGCUGGCAUCAUAUGAUCAGAUCAAGGAAUCGAUAUUGGAAACGGGUCUGAUGAAGGAUGGGCUUGGGACCCACGUGACCGCCAGCUUCGCCGCGGGGUUCGUGGCGGCGGUGGCGUCGAAUCCGGUGGACGUGAUCAAGACUAGGGUGAUGAACAUGAAGGUCGAGCCGGGGAUGGCCCCACCUUACAGUGGAGCCGUGGAUUGUGCUAUGAAAACUAUCAAGGCUGAGGGCCCACUGGCCCUUUACAAGGGGUUUAUUCCCACAAUCUCAAGGCAGGGACCAUUCACAGUGGUGCUCUUUGUCACACUGGAACAAGUCCGGAAAUUGUUCAAGGAAUUUUGAUUUUUGAGGAUGAUGACGAAGAAAUUAGAAUAAAAAGAAAAUUAUGUUUCUUCUUUUAUGUUCCUGAGAUCUGGGAGUUUGAAUAGCAAGAAAUCUGUCAGAUACUGCAUGUCCUUUGAUUUAUAGUAAAUGGUUAAUUUUUUUUAAUUUGAAUUAUAAACUUGAAACCAACGCAAUUAAAGUAUUCUAUUUUUCAUUAUUUUCAAAGGUCGUGGGAGAAUACGUAAAUCAAUGCAAACUUAUUUGUCUCUUGGACGAACAAAUUAACUUUUACUUUUGGCCGAAUAUCGAACAAAGUCGAUGCAAUUUGACAAAAGGUGAAUUUGAGUGGCUGCAAUUAGUACUAAUUGUUUGUUCAUGUGAGCUAGGGGCUCUAGCUUCUACUUACCCUUUUUUUCCUUUUUUCUAAAUGAGCGGUAUUAGUCUCAUGUUCUUGUUUUUGUAGUCCCAUAAUUACAUAUAAUAUCAGCAAAAAGUUAUAUCCCAAGCUUGAUUUUGGUUUCUUUGUUAAGCAAAAUUCAGUUCCAAAUUAGCAAUAGUAUAUAGUUGUGUUUGGACAGACAUUUUUCGUCCAAAAAUUACUACAUUUUCCGUGAACACAUUUUCCUAUCAUCUUUUUACUUCACAUACAUCAAAUCAAAUCGCUACAGUAAUUUUUUUACAAAAAAUCCAGAAAAAUGCAAUCCAAACACAACCUAUUAUAUUGUUGAAUUCAGUUGGACUUUGUACUCAAGUGGAAUAUUCGAAGCUCAUAUGCGCUGCUAAAAAGUGCUGGUAUAUUCUUAUAAGAUAUGUAUAUAUUCUUUAGUUAUGGCUAAAAUUGAGACCUUCAGAAAUUAAAAGUCUUUUUUGUUUUUUGAAUCUCACCUCUUAUGUGCCAAAAAAAAAAAAAGUUCUUUAGCUAGAAGUGAUCGUUGUAAGAUAUGUAUUUUCUCAAGCUAAGAAGUUAUUUAAGGAUCAAUAAUAAUUAUUCUUUUAUGUUUUCAAACAAACUUUAUGAAAAACGAAUGUAUUUAAGUAUAGGUAAAUUCUUUCUCAAUAAGUGAAGAGGAAAAGAACAAAAAAAAAAAAAGGGUUGCAUGAUCUUCACAUGCAAUGAAGGUAUUAUCAAACAGAGACGUUAAAUGUAACUUUUACCUGAGUCUUUGGCGUUUACGUAGGACAACAUGAAAGGUUGUGGACAUGGAUUUUUAUUUAUUUUUUGCAAUUUCUUGUCAAGAUGAGAAUGUGAAUGGCCAAUAGGCCAAACGAUGAAUGUCGAAAUGCUGCCGACCUGUCAAGAUGAGAUAAUCAUAUGAACCAUGGAAUUAUUUCUUUUUGUUGUUUAUGAAAGUGGAGAUGUGGAACCUAGCACCUUCAACGGGCAGCAACUCUUGGAAUUGGCUGUAAUCGUGGCUACGACAAACCAUGUUGGAGGAUCAAUUGGUCCAGCACAAGAAGUAAUUCAAUUCUCACGUUGGGUGGUGUUAAAUUGAAGGUAUUAUUCUUUUCUUAUAUAUAAGAAUUUGGUAAAUAGUAGUUAUGUUAAGUUUUUCCUGGACUUGUCACUCACAAAAAGUAAUACGUACUAAUUUUGAGGGGAAGGAUGGGUCGUAGAAGACGGUGUAAGCGAGAGGAAUCGGAUUUCGAGACUUCCUACUUAAACUUUGAAAAAAAAAAAAAAAAAGUAACACCAAAUAUAUAUCUCAACCAUUCCAUUAAGUGAUAGUGUAUUAACAAUACAUCAUCUAACAAUUGUAUCAGUCAUGCAAAAAUGCAGGCACAUUGGUUUUGCAAAAACCCAAAUGCUAUUCAUUAGACAAAUACGAGGGAUUAAUGUGAUAUCUGGUAAAAUGAGAAAUUAUUUAUUUAGCUUUAAUAGUUGAUUCAAGAGAAAGAAAAAACAUAUAUAGAUGGGAGUGCCACACAACUGUAGGCACAUCGGUGGGAGGAUUCUUUUAUGUUAGUUCUAAUUUCUGGAAAAAAUUUUGUGGAAGAGAGAUGUCUUUAUUCAUGAGAACAGAAAUGGUAUGUGGCAGGAGACAGGAUGCUAGGAGUUUAAUCUUAGAACAGAAUGGAAAAGGAAAACUUGCAUACCAGUUACGUAACGACAGAACAACUAUAUACGGGAUGUAUACGCUUAUUUUGGCCGCAAAGGAAAAGCAAGGACCUGAAUCAUGCAUGCCAUUCAGAAAUUUCCAGGUGAAAUAGACCGGUGGCCAACUUUCCUUCGUUCCCUGUAUUGAAGAACUUCCGUCAGGCUGAAAAUGACUGGCAAGAUAGUAUCAAGUGGAGAAACUCGCUUGAUUUCCAACGUCAAGUGGUUAAAAAUUGGGUUAAUUACAUUGAGGUUGAGUGGCUGCUAUUGGACAUAGUUGUUAAUUGCAAACGAGUAGAAAGUCAUGUAGGCCUACUCCUGUUUAAAUCUUGAUUAGUUAAUCUAAUUAUUUUUGUCUAUGAUCCGAUAUCCUUGGGUCGGUCUUGUAGCAUGUUGUCAACUAUUUCUGAUUUUUGGGUUUGAUUUUCAAUUUUUGAAAAAACCAAUUUUUUUUUUUUUUUUUUUUUACUUACAAAGAAACCCAUAAAGCAUGUAUCUUCUAACUUGUCAUAUUGACUUCUUUUUUUUUUUUUUUUCUCUUUUAAAGCAUCUUGACUUCAAAAAAUCAGUUAAGAACAAGCCACCAAUUAAAAGAAAAAACUCUCUCUCUCUCAUGUGCUUGACUAAAGAUUCCUUGAUUAUGUGCAUUUAGUAUCUCCAAACUGAAACCAUCCAAAUUACGUUGCAGAUAUUAAAAUAAAAUUAACCCUUUUAUCAAAAAAAAAAAAAAAGAAAAUUAUCAUCUCAUUGCUUAUAAAAUGAGUUGGACGAUUUUGCCUCUUCAAAAUUCAAUAGCUAUGGACAAUGAAGUGCCACCAUGACCCAAAUUAUAUUGUGUCUCAAAAAUCAAGCUAAUCACAAAGAAAAUAGAGUGCUCAGCUCAUUAUAUUAGAUUUAAUAGUAGGGUUAAUGCUGAUUAGUGUUCGUAGUUUGGUGGCCAAAGCGUGUUUGCACGUUGAGGGUUUCUUUUUGUCGUAAAUCGCUAGAAGCUGUUGCCUGUGGAUCCUAUUUUUGCCAGGCUCCAGCCCUCGGGAAUCAAACCUUCAUUCCAAUGAAAUUCCGAGGGGUGCCAUAGGAAAUUUCUGAGAUAAUUUUUGGUUAUUUGGGAUAAUUUUUUUGAAUGAUGUGAUAUAUGUGAGAUAAAAAGGUAAUUGAAAAUGUGUUAAUGAUACAAGCAAAUAAAUCUUGACAAAUAAUUGGCUAUCCAAACAUGUUAGGAGAGGGCUGGCCAAAGGUGUUCAAUUAAUUACAUUUUGUAUUAAGGUUUAAGAUAACUUUGUAAUUGGGUACUAUAAGAGCGAAUGAGUAAACAUUCUGUGCAACAAUACAUACAAACUAUUUGUGAAAGUGAAAAUUUUCAAAUGUAUGUGUUAUACCAAAUUAACAUAUGAAUGCACAUGCUGAUAUGCAUUGUGUUGCCUUAUAUUUAAAUAAUUUUCCUAUUUAACUUUAGUUGUUUACAAAACCGAUAUUGAUCUCUCUUAAUUAGUACCCGUUAGACACUUGUCAAACAGACCAUUUAUAUAUUAAAAAAAUUUUUGAGCUUCACAUUUAAUAUAUAGUUUACUAUUUUUGGAAAAAAAUUUUUAUAGUUACUUUCUUUGUCUUAACGACACAUCGAAUCUAACCUAAUCUACUCCUACAGUCCUAUUCCUACUUGGGGGGAGCCUAUUCUAGGAGGUGGUUCAACUGAGUCGAGGGAACCUAAUGAAAACUGAACCACCAUCAGACCAAAUUACACCACGCAUCCGUAUGAAUUUAGAACAAUACUCAUAUAGAGGUGCAUUGAUGGGAGGUAAGGUUCUCCCACCUCACAAUUAAUGUGGUGACUAACUCUUUUAGAGGGGGUUGGUUUUUUAUAAUUGUUCUUUAAUAGGAAUUCUAUGCUGUUCAAAAGUAGUUUGGACAAGUAACAUGAAAUGAGCGUAGUGGCGGACGGAGCGCAGAGGAUUUAUUCUAGGGAAAUGGAACUUUUGUGCAUAAGACAGCCCCAUGAAUUCAUGGAGGAAAUGGCUCCCGGGAGGUGCCUUGAUUCCCAGAGCAAUCAUUCACCUAAGAAUACAUGUCAUGCACGAUAUUAGAUGCAUGUACCUGCCUGGAUCCUGAAAACAACAUCCAAAGAAUUCCUUUGUCUUGUCCCUUUUAUAAUUUCAACCAGUCAAAUGAUUGUCCCAUCAUCUUUUUCUGUCUGGAAAAAAAAUUGUAUGCUGUUAUUGGAUGUUUGGUUUGUACCCAGAAACUAGAAUGAAUACCAAAUUCCACUUAGAAAGGCUGUCAACUAGCUAGGAGCCACCAAGCCACUAGCAGUCUAAUGCCUAAAAUAGGCUACUAUUCAACUGCAACAUUUUAGUUUAACACCAAUGCUUCAACUCAAAAGGGAAUUUUAUAUACGAAAUGAGGAAAUAAAACCAAGGAGAUUUUGAGCAAAAUAAAAAAUUUCAAUUAAUGUAAUACAAUCUUGUGGUUACACUUGACAAAAUUGUAAACCAUGAAAGCACUUCAUGGAGAUCAUCAAAGGUCAAGAGGUGGCCUAAAAGCAGGGGCGGAGGGAAGGGGGGCGGUCCAAUUGUUAAAAAAAAAUUUAUAAGUAAAAAUUUGUUUAUUAUAUUGUUUUGCCCCCCCAAAUAUUGAUAAAAAAUUUCACUUUGCCCCCCCUCCAAUUGUUAUAAAAAAAUUUCUAAGUAAAAAAAAUUUUUCUUAUAUUGUUUUGCCCCCCCAAAAUAUUGAUAAAAAUUUUCACUUUGCCCCCUCCUAAGGACCCAAAUAAUAAUGUUUGAAAGUUAUUUGGACUUUGUCCAAAUAACAGAGACUCGCCCCCCUAAUUGCAAUUCCUAGCUCCGCCACUGCCUAAAAGCAACAGUGAAGUUGCUAUAACAGGCAUUGAUUCUUUUAAACAAAACAUCAUGGUUACUGAUUGUUAAGAGACACAAAACAAAAAAGUGCUAUAAUGCUUUUUUCACAAAAUUAUCUCAAAUAAUUUACAAUCCAAACACUGUAGUUUCAUUAGAGAAAAUAUUUGCUCCAGGUUGAUAAACACCAUUUACUGCAUUCCUUUCUUAGUUGGAAAACAUUAGCGUCUCCAUUUAAUGGAGUAAUUUCAUAAACCUCCCUUGAGAUUUUUGAUAAUUUCACUUAGCACCCUUAAACUUUUAAAAAUAUCAUUUACUUCUCUUAUUUUCAAAUUUUUGUAGCAUUCUCAAACCAAUUCAAAUUAUAUGUUUACAAUACUCAUUUUAGGAAAGAGAAAAUAAUUUGUUUCCAAUAAUGCCCUUUCAUUUUUUAAUUUUUUAAUUGUAAGAAUAAUAAUCAUAUGUUAAAAAUAAGGACAAAAAAUGAAAAUGUUCUUUUUUUAAAGGAACAACAUAUAAUAAUUGCAACCAUAAACAAUAAACUUUUUUAAAAUACAAACAAAUAAUAAAAUUUUGUUUAACAUGUUUUCAAAUUAUAAAGUAAUUUUUUCCCUUUAAUGUUUGUCUAUUUGGUACUCUAAAGUCACAUGGUAAGAAAUAUGAUCCGUUUGGAUGAGCUAUUUCUAGAGAUGUUUUUGAAAUAUUUUACUGUAACAAUGGACCUGUUUGGAAUCGAAUUUUUUGGCCAAGUUUUUUAGUUACUAGUUUUUUAACAACUUUACCUACAGGAAUCCAAAAAAACUUAUUAAAAUUUUUAACCUACAUAUUUCAAAAUAUCUAAUACACAAAAAACUUCAUUUUUUCUUCUUCAUUCUCCCCCGUCCCGAUCAACCACACCUUCAUCGCUGGCCACCACCUCCACCGCUACUUUCGGCGUCGGCCACCUACUCCGACGCCGGCCUUCCCCUUUUUUUUUUUCCUUCCUUUCUCCCUCUCCAUCUCCCUCUCCCCCUCUCCUUCCCUCCCCUCUCUCCUUCCCCUCCCUGGCUACCCUCCCCCUUUCCUAGCUGCUAUCUGGUCAUGCGACCGGAUUGGGCAAAAGGGGAGGGGGAAGGAAAGGAGAGUAGAAAAGGGGAGGAGAUGAGGAGAGGAAGAUGGAGAAGAGGGGAAAAGAAAAGGCAAAAAAAAAAAAAAAAAAAGUGCACGCCAUGGCUACUGGUUCUCUAGCUUCUGGAGGGAGAGGGGGAGGGUGAAGGGGAGUAGAGGGGGAGAGGGGAGCAGAAGGAGAAAAGGGGAAGAGAAAAAGAAAAAAAAAAUUGGGACCAUGGUUGCUGGUUCAUCUAGUACCGCGAGGGAAGAGGGAGAGGGAAGGAAGAAGAAGAAGAAGAAAGGAAAGAACGAGAAAAAGGAAAGAAAAAAAGAGAAAAAGAAUGAAAAGAAAAAAAAAAUGGUAGGACCAUGGCUGCUGGGAAGGUAGAGGUAACGGCGGAGGGAAGGGGGAGGGGGAAGGAAGAAGAAGAAGAGAGGAAAGAAAAGAAAAAGGAAGGAAAGAAAAAGAAAGAGAAAAAGAAAAAGAAAAGGAAAAAAAAGUUUUUCAUCUUAAAAAAUUUUUCCAAAAAUUUCUACAGUGCACUACAGUAAAGUUUAGAAGUUUUAGACAAAUUUUCAAGAACGUCAAGUUCCAAACGGGGCCAAUGUAGUUGAAAAAUAUUUAUUAUAGAUGUUUUUAAUAGUGUUUUUGAAAAUAUAUUUUGAAAUAUUUUUAAAAUUUAAAAUUUUAAUGGAAUAUUUAUAAAAUUUUAUAAUCACCCAUCACUAUCCCACCACCCCUUCUCUUCUCCCUUAUCCUCCUUCUACUUCUUCGUCCUCCCUCCUUCCCCCUCUUCCCCUCCCCUUUUUCAUGUCUUUCUUUCUUCCUCUUUUUUCUCCUCUCUUCUCCUUCCUCUUUCUCCUCUAUCCCUCCCCUCCUCCCUACCCUCUCUCACCACCCCUCUCUCUAGUCGUGAGUUGCAACUAGAAAAUGGACGCUGCUUGCGACCAAAUUCGGUUGCAAUUGGAAGGGGGAAGGGGGCAAUGAGAGAGUCAUGAGGAGGAAGGAGGAGGGAAGAGGAGGAAGAGGGCAGGGGAGGGAAGAGGAAGAAAGGGGAAGGGAAGAGGGAGGAUGAGAAAAAAGGGGAGAGACGAGAGAAGGAGAAGGAACAGCGGGUGGUAGUGUGUUUUUAUUGGUUGUUGUUGUUGUUGAUGGUGGUGGUAUAUAUAUAUUUUUUUGAUAUUUGAAGUUGUUUUUAAUACAUUGUAUGAAUGUGAUAUUUUUGAGGUUAUUUUUAUUUGUGUAUUAUUAUAACAUAGUAUAUGAAAAACUUUUUUUUUUUGAAAAAAUGAGGAAUCCAAAUGGAGUUAUUGUUAUUGUUUUUUUUUGACAAAAAUGUAGAUUUCUUCUACAAAAGUGUUGUAAUUUAGGAGACUAUUUAUAAUUUAAAAACUUCAGUGUUUGUCCAACCUUAUUUAUCCAUAUGUUUAUCACAUGCUCUUAGGUUAUCGAAUGAGAAAAAUCUUUCUUUUUAUGUAAAAUGGUUUGAUUGAAUCUAAUAAAUUUUAUGAACUAUUUAGAAUCUUUAAUUUUUAUUUAUUUGAAUCAAUGGCUUGAAAAUUUAGAAAAGGGAAAAAUUUUUAAAUUACAUUGAGAAUUUAUUUGAGUUGUUUAGAAGACAAAAAAAAAGUUAUUUUUCACAUCUUUACAAUAUUGCAAAUAAUUUUCACAUACUUUGUUAAUUAUUUAUGAUUUUUCAAUUUAAAAUUUUGCCUCCAAAUUGUAGAUAAGAUUUGUUAAAGAUUUCUCAACUCUAAACUUGUAAUUUUUUUUUUAACUAAAAAACACAUCCAUCAAGUUUUUAAAUAUAAAAGGAUUUUAAAUUGAUUUGUCAUUACAGCUAAGGGAUCACAAUAAAAGAGCAACUUUAGAAUAAAAUAACUUUCUCUUUCCUAAACAUAGUAUUUUAAUGAUAUAAUUAGAAUUGGGUUGGGAAUGUGAUAAAAAUUUGAAAAUAAGGGGGAAAAGUGAUAUUUUUAAAACUUUAAGAGUACUCAGUGAAACUAUAAAAAACUUCAAGGGAAAUUUCUGAAAUUAUCCCCCAUCUGAUCCUCCUGUUUGUGGCUCAUAUUUACUUGAAGAAAUUAGAGGUGUCAAAAUGGUUGAUUUGGACGGGUUUGGAUGAGUUGAAAUAGAUAAUGGGUAUAAAUAAGUUAAUUCAUUUAUACCCAUUUAAUUAGAUAGGUAUAAAUGGGUAAUUCAAAAAAUGAAUUGGGUAAUUCAAUUACCAUUUAUAUCCCAUUUAUUUUAACUUUUUAUAAACUCAUUUAAAUUUAUUUUUGCAAACUAAAUUAUCAAUUGAUACCACUCUUUGCAUCCAUCAUUAUCAAUAAGCCUAAUUACUAAAAGAAUAUAAAAAUUUGAACUAAUUACCAUGAAAGUUAAUAUAAAAACUUAAUCUAAAAACUUUGAACCGCUUACAAUUUUUUUGUAUGUAAAUUUAAAAUUUCAUUUUGGAAAGGUAGGAGAGGAGACUAAAACUUAUCAUAAAUUGGUAAUGCUAAAAAAUGAACAAAUUAAUAAACUAUGAAAAGAUAAAAUGAUAAGAUAAAACCAACAAAUCUUAUACAUAUAUAAAAUGGGAAUCGCUUGUGAACAGUGCCUAUGGUCCGGUUAUGCUGUGAUUUUUGUGAGCCUGAGGGGUGUUAUGGACCUUAUGGUCUUUUGGAGUCGAGUGGGAGUGGUUUUGCUGGAAAUUCACCGUCCCCACGUGUUGUUCUCGGACGGCAACAAGUUUAGCGGUGAGUUGAGCUGGAUGCAUCAAGCGCUGCUUCAAAGUAUUGCAAUCUUCAUUACUUUUUCUUAUUGUUUUCUUAGCCGGGAAUCGCUUGUGAACAGUGCCUAUGGUCCGGUUAUGCUGUGAUUUUUGUGAGCCUGAGGGGUGUUAUGGACCUUAUGGUCUUUUGGAGUCGAGUGGGAGUGGUUUUGCUGGAAAUUCACCGUCCCCACGUGUUGUUCUCGGACGGCAACAAGUUUAGCUGCUUCAAAGUAUUGCAAUCUUCAUUACUUUUUCUUAUUGUUUUCUUAGCCGGGAAUCGCUUGUGAACAGUGCCUAUGGUCCGGUUAUGCUGUGAUUUUUGUGAGCCUGAGGGGUGUUAUGGACCUUAUGGUCUUUUGGAGUCGAGUGGGAGUGGUUUUGCUGGAAAUUCACCGUCCCCACGUGUUGUUCUCGGACGGCAACAAGUUUAGCGGUGAGUUGAGCUGGAUGCAUCAAGCGCUGCUUCAAAGUAUUGCAAUCUUCAUUACUUUUUCUUAUUGUUUUCUUAGCCUUGUCUCCGUUACUUUCUCUUAUUCUUUUCUUGACUUUCUCUACCCAGCGUUUUUUCCGUUCCUCAUUCUCCAAUCUUUUUUCUCUAUUCUUUUCUUAGCUUCUCUGCCCAGUGUUUUGCCCUUUCCUCGUUUUCCUAUUGAGUUCUCUACUAGACUGCAAAUAAUUGAGCAAGUGAAUUGCGCAUCAGAGCACGGGUGCUUUGCAGAUGUUUAAUGUUAGUUAUGCUCUAUUUUAUUGGUUUGCAUAGCCAUUCAUGCAGAGCAACAAAUCAAAGUAAGGCUCAUGUAUCCGCGCUCUUGAUGUCUGACCCAGAAGUUUGGCCAUGAAUAUAUAUGUUUGCAUGUAUGGAUGAAUGACGACAAUUAUUCCUGAUAGUUAGUCUUGCUGUAAUUGCUCCUUCUGUUGCUGCCAUUUCUUUGCUUUAAUGCAGCUGCUGCUUGGGUUUGGUAUAGCAAUGGUGGUCAAAAAAUGCAUCAAAUAUUUGCUAAGGCUGAAAAAUAAAACAUUCCAAUACAUACAAGGUUUCAGCAAUAUUAAUGCAUGAAAGUCCCCAACAAUAAGUUCAAUAAUCAAAAGCAAGCUCAAAUUUCUUCUAAAUGGAUGGAAGGCUUGAAAAAGAUAAUUCUAAAUGAAUUAAUUAGAUUUGAUAAUAAAUGGAUAUUAUUACCAUUUAUAUCCAUAUGUCAAAAUUUAAAGAUACCCAUAUACAACUAUUCAUAGGUGGGUGUGGGUAAAUUUAGCUAAAUGCGCUGCAACGAAGCAGCCAUUCCUCAAUUCUUCUAUCGUUAUCGGUGUAUGAGAAAUCGAAGGGGCAUCAUUUGGAGUUUUCCUUCUAUGUCUGUGUAUUUCUUUACAAUUCUAGUAGAAGCAUCCUAGGAUAGCAUCGACCGCACUUCCAUAAUCGAUCCGGGAGGUUCCGCGUCUUUUUGUUGUAGUGCAUUCCCGAGCAAUUGUUGCAUCCGUGAGGCAAAAAUAUCAUCUAAAACCUGCAAAUCCGAAUCUUUGUUGUCAUGGUAGUAUUUAUCAUAUUACUGGAUCUUAUUAGACUCUCAUCUUUACUUCCAUAAAUCAAGGUCAAAUCAGUCGGAAACCAUUCAAUUACUGGAAUAAAAAUUGUGAAAUUCCUCCUCAAAACAACAAAGAAAAUCAUCACAACCACUCUAAUGUGAAACACUGACGAUUUGGCCAGCAAAAGUAUAACUCGAGCCAAGUUACCAAGUCAGCCUGCAUUUUUCACUACCUUGCAAACAUCUAUAACUAUUUCAAGGAUGAAAGACUUGCAUCACAUAGAAGAUUCAAAGGAUGAUCAGAUUAUCCCUCUUUCCUUCUUAACACUCAACUUCGUAUAGGGUGAAUUUCAGUUAAAAACGUCAGGCUUUUAAUCUUUUAAACAUUUGCAAAUAAUGGCUACUGCAUAAAGUGACUAUCUGAAUCCUGGAAGAAUUAGCUCAACUUACAGAUACUGCAACCCGUGAAGCUUUGUACCAUGACCGAUUUUCCUUCCUCUCUGCCAGAAAUCUAAGCACAUCCUGUCACAAAACAUCAAACAACAAGGAAAAAAAAGAAGAAGAAAAUAAAAGAUGCGUAAUGAAAAAAUAAUUAUGAAGCAUUUUGCUGAACAUUCUACCAAGAAACUUACCUGUGCCAUCCUAUCCCAAAUACCUCUUGAUACGAUUAUGAACACCUGAGGGUCCAAUAAAUUGUAAAGUUGAUCAAUCAUUUUUUCAAGCAAAUCCUUCAAGGGCUGCAUCCUACUUCGAACAUCAGAUUCUACAACAUUUUCCUUUGCAUCCUGAAUUAUUUUCUUCAACUUUGUAGACGGUUGCAAUCUUGUCUGAAUCCAGAAAAGCAGUAUAAAAAACGAAAUCAAUACUUGAUAGUGCAUAUCCAAAUGUCAUUAAGAACACCACAAAGUAUAGUUGUAAUGGUGAUCAUAAUGACUUUUUCUGCAACUUGUAACCUUGCAUUAAUAAAUGACCAAGAGAUGAAAAAAAAAAGCAUGCUUUCCAUCCAAAUGCAUCUUGCUGGAUAAUCAGCACAACACAAUGCAGGAAGAAUUUUUUUUUUUUUUUUUUUUAAAGGACCAAAUUCAUAACCUAAAUGUUAGUACACCUACAUUUUCCACAAGCUUUUCUGUAACUCCUUGCAAAUAAGUUCUCAAUUUGGCUCUGAGCAUAACCGUUACUUCACUCAGAUGCUCGCCUGGGAUGGUACUCCCACCAUCAGGGAUGCAAGAACCCCAUACCUUUAUCUGUGCUUCUAUUGGGGGCCGCAAAACAUCAAGAAUCCUUUUCAAGGAAUUAAGAAAAAUUCCCAACUGAAAAAUUAGAGCAAAAAUAUUAAUUUAUGGUCAAAAGAAGGGAGAUACCAAGUUCACAAAAAUCCAAAGAUAGCAAACAAUCUGACCUCUCUGCAAACGGAAUAGGCAGAUACAGUGCCCUUAGCAAAUUUCUGAACAUACUUGAGGCCUAAUUUAAUUGGAAUUGAGUUCUCCUUCAGUGCAUAUAAAACAUCUGCAUAAUGUUUUUCCAUAGUCUCUAUAACUGUCUUUUCCACAUCUGUUAUGGCCUGUAUCCAAACAAGAAUUAGAUGUCAAGCAUUGUGUGUAUUACUCCAUAAAGUUAGAAAAUACACUAGCUACCAUGAUCCGUUGGGUCCUACUGUGUCAUCAAGAAGUACCAUUAUCAUACAAACUAAUCAUUAAAUGUCUAUCCAUUGAUGCAGUAAUACCAAAUGAAGACCUUCUAAUCGAAUCAUAGCAGAAGAUUGGGAUUCUAUACCCCACUUAGCUAAAACCUUUCCCAAAUGCAUACAAGGAAAAUUUCAAACUGGAAAGUAACAUAUAGAAUACUAGCCGGUUUCUGCCAACCCCAAUAAGAGUUAAAAUGAUGAAGGCAAUAGAAAUUAAAAAAUUCAGACUUUACUUACACUUUCCAACUGGAUGGUAUACUCUGGCCAAUGACUUAUAAUAACAUCAUAUUCCUUUAGUGUCUCCUUCAGUUGAUCAUAAAUAUCAUCCACGAAAGGGGUUGUGAGAUCCAGUGCUUGGAAGCUGGACCAUUUUACCUGGAGGCAUGUAAAUUCUACUAAUCAGCAAUAGGGAAAUUACAAACACACCAGCAAAUGCUGACAAAUUCAUCCAAAGCAUCAGUAUUUGGCCAAACAUAAAAUGAAGCAAGAAGAACAGAUAUGUCAAAUCAUAUUAAUUAUGUAUAUAUGUACUACAAACAAACAGUAAAACCUACACAGAUGAGUAACCUGAUGUUUUUUGAAAUAAGAGUUUCUUGUUCCCUAUUUUAAUUCCAUAGGAACAAUUUUACCUUUCUAUAUCAAUAUAAGAUGCCUUAAGAGCCAGUUAUUUUAUCAGCCUCCAGUGCAACCCACUCUUAUCAAGUAAUGCCUAAGAUGCAAGUGCCACAUUAUAAAAGGUUCAAUGGUCCAUAGAUAUAUUAUUGAAACAAAGAAAAAACUUAAGGUAAAGUAUCUCUUUCUAUUGCUUUGCUCAGUGUUUAAGCUGCGGAUGAGCAGACAAAUAAGGUGAAAUCUUGUUGAACCUAAAGCUUGUAUUUAGAAAAGUAAGGAUCAGGCUUCUCAUCUACAAAGGUAAGGGUAGUAAAACUGGGACAGAUCAGAUAUUAGUCUAUAGCAGAAAAGCUACGACCUACGUUGUAUUUUGAAGUCAAAUAAACUUUCUUCCCAUUGGAAUGAUCUCCUCAAGAAAUCAACUGAGGCAACUACCAAAUAAGUUUUCAUGUGCACAUAACCAGUUCAGCCUAAUAGCUCAGAAGAAUUCAGACCAGGUAAUUUUAUGUGCAUAUCCAACACAAGAUGGUGCUGACUUCCACUGAACAAUGCUUGAUGGAAAUUGAAGAAAUAUAACAUAGACCAUGAACUUGACCCAGUGAGUCCAUGUAGACAAAAGAGUACCUUAUCAGGUUUGCAUAGUUCCAGCAAGGUAAGACGCUUUUCCUGGAUCCAGAAGGUUAUAUAUGAGUGGAACAAUUGUUUUGCAUCAACUCCACCUUUAACAGCUCUGCAAAAGGUCAUGAUAUGAUUAAGGCAUGCUAGAAAAGACUAAAGUGUAAACUAAGCACAUAUCAGACUUACUUAAUAUUCCAGGAGGCAAGAUCCCUUUGAAAAUCAGCUGUUGCAACAACGAGUUCUGUCACAGGUGGCAAUGGACUAGGAGGAGGACAAGCAACAAGAAAUGUCUGCAAUCUACUGUUGAGUUCGGUGCUAUAUAUGGAUGAGGAUAGAUUUGGAAGGUCUAUGAAACUAUGCAAAGACAGAUAAGAGAAAAACCAGAGUUAGAGACUUCUAUGAACAAAAAUCCUAUCCUUGGAAGAGAUCAUGCUCGAAUAAAUAACAGAGAAGCCAUUGCAUGAAAUGAAUGCAAAUAAGACUUGCAUAAACCAGAUUAUAGGAACUACAAACAUCUCUAAUUAUCUAAUAUGGCACAAUCAAGCUAUCUACACUUCAGCAAAAAUGGGUCUUUUUUUUUUCAUUUUCUUCCUUUCCUUUUUACCUGGGGAGUACAUGCUGAUCGUGAAUUUCUAUGUCUGUGAAGAUUUCUCGUCUGAUGUUCAAACAAAGAGAUUUUAUUUUCUGAUAUGCUGCAGAAAUAGUUACUGGGUCCAUUAGUACGUUCCCAUUAUUGUUAGAAACAAUCUCAUCUGUUUCUGACAGAUGCCUCUUGGAUCUCUUCUUCACUGCAGUCUACCAAAAAGAAAUGGUUAAUGAAAUGGAGUGCAGCAGGGAAAGAAAGUAUGUAUGCAUUCAAUACCUGAAAAUAUCUGCAAAGCUUCAACUGUGCCUCAGAAGAGAGAAUAUCAUGCAAAAGUUUGUACAGCUUUAGGGCUGGUAUCAGAGCAGAAGCAGCAAAUCCAGUAGCUGGUGUAAACACAUCAGCGACCCCUGAUGGAGAUGACUCAUCAAGUGACUUGUAAUUCUCAAAAACCACCGCAAUGGUCUGCUCAAUUUGAUCAGAAACAUCUCCCAGCAUACGAUUCUGGUGGGGAACGCAUAAGAAAGAACAGUAUGUUAGUUGAAAAUUUGGUAUAAAAACUUCAAAGAAUCAUAACAGAAGAAAGCACUAAAUGCAUAUGAAGCUAAUGGAAGAUGCUAGAUGAAAAGGCGCAAGAUGUGUACAACACGACCUCAGCAUAACUGAAAAAGUCAAAAAAAGUCCAUGAAACAUGGUAUCAUUGAAUAUAACUGCUGAAGGACAAGUGCAGAUAAAUCAAAUAAGAUUCUCCAUGUUAAAGGUGGGAUACUUUUACUGUCUCAUUUUUAUGCAUAAGAUACUGUGCAAAAUUGAGCAGGACAAUAAAUGUUCACGUUUUUUAAAGUUAAAUCCCUCCUACCUCUUGGUGACUCAAUGCCUCUUUACUUUUGCCUUUCAUCACAACAGGAAAGAGCAGAUCAUGCACCAAAUCUAGACAAUCUGCAGUUGGUGUAGCAACAUCCAUAACAUAGGAAAGAUAUCUGCAAAGUAAUCAAACAUUAUAGACCUACACAGUAAUUUCACACCACACCUUGAAACAAUUUAUCUGUAAAUAGGCAUUUAAACGAAUUUGAAUACCUCAGCUUAGUGUAUGCAUCUGAAACUCCAUAGUAUGAAGCAAAUUGAGUCACUAGCCACUUCCAUGAACCAUGCAGCAAAAGCUUUCUCUGUUGAAACUGUUGAGCUUUCAUUGCGGUCUCCAAAACGAAGUCAUAUGCAACAGUCUCAGCAACAGAACCAUACUGAAAUAAAGAACAAAAUAAGGAUACACCUUACCAUGAAACUACCUCAUUUUAACAUUUAAAUGGAUAAAUGUUACAUAGAAAUGAAAAGUAGAACUAAAGUCAUUCAAUAAACCAAUGAAGUCUGAAUUCACAAUGCAUAGCAGAGUUCAUAUGAUAGUCAAAAUAAUAUAAAAUCCCUUUUUUUCCUUUGUUCACCAUUAUUGUAUUGCACAUCUACUGAACCACAAAGAAAAUUCCUUAAGCUUACAUGAUAGCUGAAAAUACCAUCAGAUGAUCUUUAGAAAGAAAGCGAGACAUUAAAUAUGUAGCUAAAACUACUGAUCCCUUUUCUGAUUCUACAUCAAAGAACAAUUAAUGUGGGGAAAAAAUGAAGAAAAUGGAGAAGAAAGAACCGAUAACAAUUCAAAUCAUAAAACAUUAAAAGAUUCAAAUAGGAUCACUUAAACAUCUAUUGAAAGCUAGUGAACAGCAAAAAAAACCAGUUAUGGCAAACUGGCUGCUCUCACAUUUGAACAUAGAACCUUAAGAUUGUAAUUUCUAACACUAUGACAAUGCACGCCUGCAACUUAGAGUUAAGUUGUGGACAUGAAAAAUUAAAAGACAUGUCACAACUAAACAACAGAGUUCAACCAUUUCAGUCAAAAUUAAAAUAAAAAAAAUCAUUUGCCGGACUAAGACUGCACCAGAAUGUUGGUGUAUCAACAGUGAGAUAACAAAAAUUUAGAAAAGAUCUAUUGCAAGGAUCUUACUGACCUUAAGAUGACUAUUCUCUUCUUGACUUGAAUAAUUGAUAUACAAUUGUAUUCUCCCCACAAGUUCAUGCUCUGGCUCUUGAUAUAUAGACCACCAGCGAAGCUUGUCAGCCUGCAUCCAACCAAUACUUCAUGUAUCUAGCAAAGAAAUCUGUAUCUAGAAUUUGAGAAACAAAUAGUAAUCUGAAUAUCCUACCGGAUUAUCAGCAAUUUCAGCCACCUGAGCCAUUGCCCUCCCACAAUACUUCCCCUUUGAAUCAUGGACUUCAAUAAUUAGAUCAUCUCCUAACCCAUCCGGCAAGCUAUACUCCAGAAGCAAAAGAAUCAGUUUAUUCUUCUAUUCGAUAGGAGACUGAGAAAAGAAGAACACAAAAACUUACAACACAUGAGUCUCUCCAGAUGCAGGCUGCAUUUUAACUGUGUCCUCUUCAGAUGAAUUUUUCAAUCUCAAUGAACAAGAAUAUGUUUCUGUAGAUGGAUAAUGAAUCAUUUCAGUAAUAUGUCUGAACAGAAUGUUUCAAUGUAUCUACUGCGGUCUGAGGAUGCAAUCACUGAAAAAAAGUUUACCUUAGCAAGCAAACUAAAAUAUGAUACACUUAUAAACACUGAAACUAAAAUAUCCAAAAGGGUAUUGUACCAUGUUUGCUAGAGUUCAACUUUUCUGGCUUAAUUUUCACUAUCUAAUGGAAAAACUAAAUGUAGUGAGAACAUAGCAACAUUAAGAUCUCUCAAAGAUUUUAGUGAUGGGUAAUGUGGUUGCUUUUCAGUUAUAAGUGGUUUUUCAAGUUUCGGAGCUCCACUUUUUAGCUAUCACUAAAAGUAUUUACAGCCGAGAAUUUCACAACCAUCAAAGUUGCUAUUUCAGUUUAGACCAAACAUCUUCAGAAGAACUUCCAAGAGAAUUUCCUACUAACUUAUUCCUUGAAUAGGAUCACAGUCUAAAACAGAACACACUGAGCUAUUAGCAUUUUAAGACCUUGAGGUGCUAGAAGCUUCCUAUGGGUGUCUUAGCUAUGCCUAGCCAAGCACCCAUGGUAAGUUGUAUCCUCUUGCACAAAGGUUACAAAACAACCUGAUUAAUAAUGUGGUUAGUGACAAAAGACAAAAUAAGUACAAGGACCAGAAAGAAGUUGCAGUGUGCUAAAAAUGAGUUUCAGGUACUGGAUUCAAUUUGGUAAAUGUGGUGUCAUGUUUCUUUUACGAUUCCUAGCAAAUAAUUAACAAUAAAAGGUUCAACAACCUUUAACAUUCUUAUAUGUGUCCAUUCAAGUAUCUUGAUGAACAGUACAAGUGACAUGUAGUAUGGAUGACACUAUAAUGAGGAACUGAUUUUGGUAAAUUAAGGGAAAGAAUAUGCAAAAUUAAGAAGGUAAAACAAAUGUACAACUUUUGAUUUUAACCUUUUUUUAAAACGCUGUGAGGGCAUACAUACCUUGCACCAUUUCAUAGGAUGUCGAAUGGUUGCGCAAAGCAGUAAUGCCAAUUUUUACCAAUUCAGGCAAUUCUUUUACAUACUGAGUUCCAGCAUUAACAUAAGCCAAGCUCUGGCGUGAAAGAGAUCCAUUUGAUGGCAUACGUGGGCUCACACGUACUUUUUUGUAAGUUUCCCACUCAGACGAGAGAGCUGAUUUUAUGCUGGACAACCGUACUCGAAAAGGCUCCAGCUUCUUUAGGGGUGGUUUCAAAGAUGAAAGGCUACAGCCUGUUGGUGGCUCCAGAACCAUUUUUACUUUACGAACUGUGAUUGGAAAAAUCUAGGUAGAUUUAAUAUUCAAACAUAUUUCCAAGAUAGAGAACCUACUGUGGACAAGGAUCAAGAAGAAUACCUUGCACUUUCAUCUUGCCAAUAAUUUUCUUAGGUUUUACACAAGCUCCCUCGCUGAUGAGUUCUGCUGACCUUUUCCUCAAGAGUUCUUCUUCCGAUUGUAACAGCACAUGCUUCAAUCUACAACAAAACAGUGGUCAUGUCAUACGUGGUUUUUUGCAUAAUAAACAAAAAUCAUUAGUCAACAGGUCACUGCAUUGGGCAUACUGACAACAAAAGGAAAGUAAUCACAUUAUUACACUAAUUUUGAUUGGAUUGUGUGUUAAUGCUUCUGCAAAACCACCAGGACACAAUUCAGUUCACUAAAACAGCCAUGAACUUCUCUUGCUUGCUGAUCUAAUUAAAAACUGGUUUCUGAUCAUUACCACACCACGGUAGUGGAGACUAAAUAUGUAGUUGCCCACAAAAUAUACACUCUUUUAGCAUCAAUUAAAUUACCCCUCAUACAUUUGUUUUUCGUGAACAACGAAUUAGAAAAAAAUUACACACGUCCACAUAAAGUCCUCAAUUUUGGAUGUAAAAUGUAUCAGAAUGCAUGGAACUAACACAACAGAGAUACAACUACAUGCAUAAAGGGAAAGGAGUUUUACAAUAUCUUACCCAAAAGCAUCUCUCAGAACUGCACACUCAUUCUCUAGGAAGAUGGGAGCUUCCAUGCAUUCGCUGGCCCAAGCGUGAAGGCAUAGCCGAAUACAUGCAUCAUAAGAAAUGAAAGCAUUCCAAGAGCCUAGACCACUGUAUUGUUUCAGAUAACAGACAGAAAAGGUUCAAUGGUGUUACAAUUUUUAUUGUCACCACAAGAGUUAUAAACAUAGAUGUAUCAGGGAAAAUAAAUGUAAAAACUUGCAGAUUUCAGCUACCUUGCAUGGAAAGUAGGGAUUUUUGCAGGUAAGGAAUGCAAAGACACACCAGCAGCCCUGUCAUCAAUUAGAUAUAUAACCAUCACACUUGAAAUUCUCCCAUGAAUUUACAUAGAGAUAAUUUAAAACACAUGCAGUUGCACAAACAGCUCACCAAAAACAAAACUUGCCAAAAUAAUAUACCUAAGAGAUGCAUCACAAGCUGUCUUGGCAGUAGAGUUUAAUGGGGUUCCAUUGCCAGUAUUUGGCAUAUCUGCGGUUGCAGAACCAUCCAAUUUUGUAGGGUGAGGGAAAAAAUCUGCUCUAGGUUGCCCCGAAACUUGGUUUGUUUCUGAGACAGAACCAGCCAGUGGUGGUGCACUUGGAACAUCAUCAGGUAACUUAUAAUUCUGGACUCCUGCACCUUGAAGAACCUGUAAGAGAAAAAUAGUAGCAUAUAAAAUUUGAUUCAAGAAAGGAAAAUAACAAUCGCAGCACAUAGCAGCACUACAAGCAGUUUUGUGCACUACUACCACUUGAUAGACAUCAAUUAUUGCAGGUGCCUCUUGAGCAUGGAGGAGGAAAAGGCAACGUAGGUAGGUGACUGCGCUAGGACUUAAUUUAGCAGCCAUCCAACGGCUUUAAUGUAGCAUACAGAGGUAAGUUCAGACGAAAAACCUGUCUUGGUGUCUUAGCAUUUGGUUGUAGAUUUCCAUUGAAGUAGUAAACCUCUGAAGUUCCAUUCCUGAGGUCUGGCACACUAGCAUCGAUACUUCUGAUACCUUGUGCUCCUAAACUUCGAAAAUUACUCUGAUGUUUGCCUGCAAAAUGUACAAUAUUCAGAAUGAAAGCACCAACAGUUACAUUAUCUUCUCCGUAAAAAGAAUUCACUGCUUUUGAAAACAACACACCGUUCACAAAUUUAUCAUCUUGGGGCGAUGUUUCAACCGAAUAACGUCCACCGUAAGCCUCACUAUCCGAGUCAGAGCUGGUAUCCAUGUCCGACUCUGAACCGAUUCCAGCGCCAUUUUUGACAGGCAUGCCUCUGGACACCGGGAUAAUCCCAGAUGGCAGGUGUCCACUUUGAAAUCUAGUUGCAGAAGGCAAUCCAAAGCCUCGACCUCCCCGGCUUUGGUUCCUCAAACCGACAACAUGAUCAGCCUGAGUCGGCAUUGAUGAAAUCAACUUUUCCGCUUCCUUGCAGUAUAAUAUCCUAAUCCAUCAAAAAAAAAAAUCAGAACAUCAGUUGCCUAAAACCAAGAAGAAAAACGAAGGGAAAAAAAAAAAGAACCUUACUUGAAUUCAAUGGUGUGAGAGAUUAAUAUAGCAGAAGGCCCACUAUUAAUACACAAUGCAGCAGGAAGAUAGCAAAUGAAACACCCUUUUCCUUAUUGGGAUUAAUUUGGAAAUCAAAUUAGAAGGAUUCCACUUUUAUUUUCUUUCAAUAUUUUCCUAAAUUGUCUUUUUUAAAGAAUCUGAGAAAGAUUGUAAUCAGCUUCCAUUUUUUUUCCCAUCCCAAUUCAAUGCAACCAGAAAGAUACGAUUUUGAUCCAAUAAUUCGUUAAAGAGAACAAAAAAAGAUCACUCUCCAUAUACAUUGAACCCACAAAUGAAACAAGGAAAAAGAAAAGGAAUUCUUGGCAACUUUUGCUAUGCAACAGUAGUGACACACGCUACCAAAUGUAAAAAUGCACUUACCAGUGUGUGAGAAGAAGCUGUAGAGGCUGCACUUUUUCUGCAGUCUUCUCAAUGGGUUUUCACAGUUACUUGGCUUAAACUAGCCUUGGUUUCCUUAAUCUGGAUUAUAGUCCCAAACAUGCUAGUUAACAAAUGUGGCUUAGCAUUUUGGGGAAAUUAAUAUAGUAUGGAGUUCUUGAAUUCGGGUUUGGAGGUUUUUUUUUUUUUUUUUUAAGGUUUAAUGAGCAAAGGAUGGAUUAGCACUAAAAAGGAGACGUUAAAAAUCAAAAGUUCGCAUGGCAGAAAUUAACGGAGACGUGGGGGGAAAUUAACGCGAGGGGAUGACGUGGCACCCGCAUGUUCUGUCUUUUGAUAACGGCCGGUCGUUAGUGGCGCGUCUUUGGGGCGUUUCUUUUUGGAUUACCAGUUGGUGCACACUCAUUUUGUUGCCUCCUUUCUGCCUUUGCUUCAUUGCUUGUAGGCACUCUCUCUCUCUCUCUCUCUCUCUCUAGACACGUUUGUAUGUGAGAGAGAAAAUUGUUUGUGUGCCAUCUUGGAAAUCUAACCUAAGUGGGAGCCUGCUGUGUCCUUUGUUAAUUGCACUGCUUAAUCACUAAGAAAGUGAUGUGUAAGGUGCAAAAAAGGGGCAAAAAAUAUGUUAAUCUUGAAAUGGAAAGAUUUGGUAUUGUACUAUAAUAUAUAUUCACUUCCAUCCUUGAUUUGGUUAAACAAGAUUUUGGUGUGAAAAAGCCUUUCUCAAAUAAUAUUGAUAUCAGAGUCACAUAUCAUUCAUCCGAUCGUGAUAAUGUAUAUACUGACAAUAAUAUAUAUAAAAUUUACUCGUACUUUGGGUUUGUUUGGGUUGCUUCAUAUUUUCCCAAUUUUAUUUGCUUACAUCAUCUUUACAAUUUCCAAUACACCUUUUUAUCUUCCCAAUAUCUUUUUAUCUCGCAUACAUCACAUCACAAAAAGUGCUACAGUAAAAAUAUCUCAAAUAAUCCCAAAUAACUUACAAUCCAAACAGACCCUUAAUUGCUUCAUUUUGAUUUUGUAUUUUACUUCCGUAUAUAAACAAUUUAUAGCUUGAGGGCUAAGUUAAUGAUCAAAGCAGAUUCUUUGAAUUUCUUCUCACUUGACAAUCUAAUCUUCUAAACAAUACCGAGUAAAAGUUUUGAUAUCUUGGAUGAAAUUGCCUUUUUAAAGUAAACAAUUGAAGAAGUGCAUGAACUUCUAUUAAAUGUAAGCCUUCCUUAAAAAUUUUCAUAAUUACUUAGUAGUGUUUUCGGUCAAAUGACGAUGUCAAAAUCUAAUCGGCUAUGCUUUUGGCCCAGUAACUGGUCUCCUAGGCGCUAGUUAACACUUUUUGACUGUGAUGGUUCCCAAAAGUGCACCAUACCAUAUGACCUUGACAACGUUGAAAAAGGGUUUAUUUUCUUGGUUUUGGGGGUCUAAAGUAGAAGCCCUAGAAUUCUAAAGCGUUAGCUGUUAAGUAGUAGACUAGUAGUUGUUUACAACUAGCAUCUCUUUCCACUGGCUGACAAAAUUGUCCACCGCCAUCUUCCAAAUGAACAUGUUGAAGGGUACUCGAAGCAAAGCAAAAGCAACAAAACAGAGGAGCAUGUGAAAAUAAUUCAAGAACCAUAUCAUUAUUAUUAGUAUAAUAAAUAACAGUAAUCUAUCACCAUCCAAGCAGGCAAAUGAUUAACACAAUUGGCAAAUGUGGGCCACUUGAACAAGAAGACAAGAGCCCCACGUGAAUGGACUGGUGGUUGGCGUCUCUUCCUCGGGACCGUUAGAUCCUGGGGUCGAAUCUCCGCAACAACAUCGGCUUCUCCGUGCUGUUAUCAUGCUAGGUCUAAGUUGGGGCGUUGGACCGGGGCCGAAGUGGGAUUAGUCGGACCGCCUUUAUGGACUUGACCCGGACACCCACUCCGUCGACAAAAAAAAAAAAAAAAAAAACAAGAAGACAGGAUAAUUGAUUCAAUUAGCUUGUCUACCGUGUGGUGCACCUAUGGGGGCGACCUUUGCAUAGUCGCAGAGAAAUUAGUCUGAUAUAAAUUAAGAUAUUCCUUGCGUGAGUCAAAAAAAAACAAAAAAAAAGAAGAAGACAUGAGAGUAAUUGAGGACUACAAAAAGAUUUGGUUAACAGUUUAUGAUAGAUAGUAAACUAUAUUGGUUAAAAGGAUACUUGGGCGCAUCAUCCUUCAAUUAGAGGACAAAAAAUCUGGGGGUAAUUAUGCUAAAAGAUGUUAAACAGUCUCCUUUCUCAUUGGAAUCAUUUCACUGGAACAGCUUUACACGGCUGCCGAACAGCACGCACCGUGCUGGUCUUCGGACACAAAACAGUUCUUCAGGAAUGAAUCCUUUUGUGAAUAUAAAACCGUGCAAGAAACCAAACCAGGCUUAAGGGGUGUCUUCAAUAUUCUGUUGGAAGAGCGCCAACAGCUUCUAUAUUGCUUUCUUUAGUUAAAGUUUCAAAAGGGCAGAUUCAUCUAGGCCACAUCUGCCUAAACAAAUGAAAGUCCAAAAACUGGCAAGUAGGAAAAUAUUAUCAGUAAAUAAAGAUUUUGAUCUUCUAUUUCAGAUUAUACAUCGACCUAAGAUCCUACUAUCCACAUAUUGACAACCAAAACUGAGUCAUUAAACUUUGACCAUCUCUUCUGACAAACCUUACUCAAUUUAUAUAUCUAAUUGCAACAAAAUCAUAGCCAUAUCCAUGAGUCCACGUCAAUCAUCAUCUGAACCAAGGACUUGUUGCUUAAUAUCUUCAAUUUUAGCAGCCAACUCCUCCCUACUUUUCUGCAGAAACCAAGGUAAACAAAAAUAAUUUAUGAUUGCUAACUAGGAAGGUAAUGAAGAAUGGGGCGCCAAUUUGACAGGGAAACUACCUUGAAAAGUAGAUAGCGGGUACCGAACCAUACUGUGUAGGAAAGUCCCACGACUUGCAUCAACUUUGGAACCUGAAAUGAUAGAGUCCCUUGUGUCAGUAAUAAAGCCCCAAACGAUUCUCAAAACAUGACUAAAUGAGUUUGAGAAAAUUAACGCUCGUACAUACCAAAGGAAUCGAAUCAAUUGCGCCAACCACUGCAGUUGCUAUAUAGACGGCAACCAGCGCACCACCGCCAAAUAAGAGGAUUGGGUAUUUAUCGUCCGAAUCAAACUGCAAAAUAAUCAACAAACAAUUCCAAUAAGAAAGGACUACAUCUGGAGAAUUCAUGCUUAAUUUCUUGUUACUUUUCAUUCACGAGACUUUGUUCCCUUUUUUAUUUUUGAAUUGACCUCUUUUAGCAUAUUUAAGCUUUUUUGUUUUUUUCAGGUGGGCGAAGAAGUCUUCUGAUAAAAGUGCUUGCCACGUUCAAAAGAAACAGUACAUAUUAAUCAGUUCACUCUUCUUCCUCGCAGAUGAACACAAGUAACUUUUUGACAGGCCACCCCACUUAAUUACCAGUGUCAACAAAUCACGAAACAAGAAAUCAGGAACAAAAAUUAGAUCACCAUCAGCACACAAACCUUCAGUGAGAAAAAAAAAGUAAACAGAGAAAGUUCUUCAAAACGAAUACAGCAAAAAGACGGAGCAAAAGGAAAAGGAACCAAAAUAAUGCAGAAACUUUAUUUGAUCAUGAUAACAAAAGUUUCUGACUCAGUCAAAACCACUGACACAACAAUUCUACCUCUCCCCUCUUUCAAAACUGCAUUACUACCCCCAUACACCCAGCUACCUUGGACUACAUUAAAGCUUGAAACUUAAACCAAAGGCACGGAAGGCCACAGAAAGGAAAAUUAGCAAAGAGAACUUCAAUUGGAGCAUCAUAAGAUAUACCAUGGGAUUCAUAAGAUAGAGACAGUGAGAAAGUAGAAGAAUGCAAAUCAAAGUUACAAGAUUGAGGUUGCUCAGGUAACCGCUCAGGAUCGACGUAAUUGCCGACAUAUCAUCAAGCAUCUAUAACUUUCCAAAUAUCAUAACAAAAAAAAGUCAUCAUAGCAACCUGCUUAGUUAUUGAUUGUUCCUUGAUGAAAAAGAAAAAUGCACAGACAAAAAAUUAGGAAGAGUUGGAAAACAGAAUAUUCACAAAAACAUUUACUAAGAACAGGAAAAUACGGGUGUUGGACAAAAUUGAUUUAAAAUGAUGAAAGGCUGCUCAGGUAACCGCUCAGGAUCGACACAAAUUGUCGAAGUCUCAUCAAGAAACUUUCAAUAAGUUUUGAUUUUCAUCAUAGCAACCAAGUAAUUCUUGCAAAAUAAAAGAUGUAAGAUAAUUACAAAAAGCAAGUUCAUACAGCUGAUGCCUAUAAAACUUGGCUGAGCACCAAGGAAGAUGGAUCAUCCAUAAAGGAAAGGAAAAAGUUUGCAGCUGGUGUCACAUGAAGAAGAAACCACCUGUUUCAGUCCUCUGUAUUCAGGUCUAGAAGAAUAAAAAAUGCUAAGGUAAAAAAAUUCAAACUAAUAAAGGUGGAAAUUUGUCAACAUUUGGACAGAAAUUUCCAAUUCAUGCAGACCACGAGUUAUUAGAUCAAAAGAAUGGACAAAGUGAAUCCUCAUUUAAACAAAAAGGGUCCUUUAUUCUCCAAACGGAAAUGGCUUAAAAUAGGAUGACACUCCAAGCAAUCAGCAUCCUAUCUUUCAAACUGACCAAGUAAAAAAUUUGUAAAUAGCCUUCUGACAUGGCUUCAGCCUCUAAACUACAGAUAAACAGUUUGGCAGAAUUUGUCCUGAAAAAGAAUUAAGACUAACAGAGAGGGCAACACUAAAAAUGUAAGCUGCUAGGAGCAAAACUAUCUAUGGAGUCAUAGUGGAGUUCUUCACUUUCAAUUGAGUUCAUUAAAGAUAGUUAUUUGUGCAACAAAGACCACACAAUAUUAUUGUUUACAAGAACAUCCUAAAAGGAAAAUGAGGAUGAUCAAAAGCAGCUCAAACACAAUAAGCAAAUACAAAGAACUAGACACAAACCUUUAUGUUGAGCUUCUCUAAAAACUCAAAUGCCAGCACUUGAUUUUCUUCAGGAGAAUCUUGUUUUGGUUCUUCGUUUGGAAAUUUUUCUCCAUACUCAAAUGCCUGCACUUGUUUUUCUUCAGAAGAAUCUUCUUUUGGUGCUUCGUUCGGAAAUUUUUCUCCAUACACAUUCUUUUCAACUGACCUGGACUCUUCCAACGUCACCACACCAUCUGGUCCAUCUUUGGUAUAUUUACUAGCCCCAGUUGAAAUUUCAUCAGAGAGUGAUGAUCUGAGAGACAAGUUGGUGCAAUAUCGCAAUCCUGAAGCGAACACAUAAAAAUCAGUCGCAACUGUUCCUGAAUUUCUUUCUUUUUCUUUCUUUAACCCUUACAAAAAAUUUCUAAAUUAGUUUCCUAAUGCUACUAUAGGAAGUGUUUACAAAAACACAUUCCAUUUGACUAUUCACGUUAUAAUAAAAGGGUAAACAGACAUCACAUAGGUGUUAUUUUCAACACCAUUUCUAAUCAACUUAUUGAUUCUUUAAAGCAACCAAUCACAGUUCAGCUAAACCAUAUCUGUACUGACCAAACCAGAAAAAACAACGGGGUUAUUUACAUAAAUAUCGAAGGUUUUUUUCACGAUAUUAAAUAAAUUUUAAUACUUUAAUUUGGAUUCAAAGCAUAGAAAAUCAAUUUCUUGACUUCUUCUUUAUUUUCUCGCCUCUUGUCAAGGUUCCUGCUCUUCCUACGUUCUUCCAUAUGAAAGUUACUGUACCCUUCUCUCCUCCAGCCUUGUAGUGGUCAUGCUCACAAGUCAGUGGGGAGAAGGUGGUCACUAAUAUUUAUAAGGUGAUGGCGGCAGUACUUUCAGGCCUACCAUGAAUUUUGCAGCUGCAAAUCGCCUCCCUAUUUUUUUUAAGGAUUCAAUUUCUCGAUUUUUCAAAUUCCCAUUAAAUCAUCAAUGUUGUGUAUUUUUUAUGAAAAAGUUUAAUAAUUUGAUUAUCAGUAACCCAUAAACAAUGAACUCAACCUGCCCAAAUCCCCUGAUAACAUGGUUUAUAAUCUCAUUUCUUAUUCUAAAUCCAACCCCAUGCCAUUGCACAACAACAAAACAAACAAAAUCUCCUCAUUGCUGAGAAACCCGUUGCACCAAGCUAAACCCAAUAAUCCCAUUGUUCCAUUCACAAAAAACGCCUGAUAAAUUCACAAUAAACAUCGAGAAAUGAUCCACGGAUUAACAAUAAAUAAGACUUGGGAUUGAAACAAUUACCUGAAGGGUUGAAAUGGGACGGAGAGAUUCUUGAAGCAGGGAAUUUGGGAUUAAGUUUCCGAAAUCGACCUAUUGGGGAAGCACCGGCAGUGAAGAGCCUGCAAUAUGGAUGAUUCGAGAUUGAUCGAGCUGUGCAAAGCUCCAUUUUUUUCCCUCUUUCAGCUAAUUUAACUCGAUUAAGCCCUAAAUAUGAUUAGGGAUUUUCAGACUGGGGGAAUUUAUGGAGGAAUGUUAGUGAAAAUGUGGAACGCUAGGGUUUAGCGGCGGGGAAGAACAUAGCAACACGUGUUACGUAAUUGGUGGACCGUUGGUUUACUAGAUAAAGAGGGGAAAAUAAAAUAAUAAAUGGUGUGGGUUUUUUUUUUUUUUUGAAAAGUAAGCUUGUCGUUAAAGGAAAACAAAAACGAAAAUGAGUUGGAUUUGAAAGAUAUUACUAAUAUGUUUUCUUCCAUAAUUCUGAGGUCAAAAAAAAUAGGAAAAAGGGGCCAUGGGAGGGAGUCCUUCAAAAAGGUUGAAAAUAGAAUAAUUCAUUGAUUGCCAUCUUCUAUUUUUGUGGUUUUGAAAAUUCAUUGAUUCUCAAAUUUCAAUCACUAACUCCCUCCACCCCCACCCCCCCUCUUGUGUAUAUAUAUAUAUAUAUAUAUAUGUGUGUGUGUGUGUAGAGGCUUCUAAUUGAAGAGAGUGAAUAGAUCAAUAGAUACUUGGAUUCUAAUUUAAUAUUUAACCUUCUUCGAAAAAGUUUUGUAAUUCUUCUCUCUUCUAAUAAUAUUUAUUGCCUAUUAAAAAGUUAAAUAACUUUGCUAAAUCCAUAUAUAGUUCCUUAGUUUAGUGGAUUGUUUGAUUCUUAGAUUGGAUAUUUAUUAAUUUCGUUAGAAACUAAACUGUUUGUUCGUGAGAAAAUAGAUUGCUGUAAUUUUUUGUGUUUAACUAAAAAUAAAUAUGUAUUCUAGGUGUAUAAUCAUUGUAAAAGUUUGAAUGGCCAUCUCAAAGAAAAUCUAUAAUUUCAUUUUUAUAUAUUUGUUGAAUAUUACUUCACGACAAUAUAAAAAAUUUUAAGCAUUGGUAUAUUAGUUAAGUAUUUAGAAUACAACAAUUUUUUGAAUUAAAUAUGAAUAAAUAUGUAAAAGUGUCAUUGAUAUUUCUUUCUUGGAAUAUAUCCCCUGGCUUAUAACUAAUCCAAAUUUUGAAAAAAAAAAAUCAUGUACUAAUGCACGGGCUAAAAGCCCAAAACCAAUAAUUAAUCACUUUGUGAACUCUUUUUCUAAAUUUCAAAGCCCAAAAGUUUUGCAGUAGACCUCCUUCCGUAACAAAUUCCAAACUUCCAAAUUUCAAUCCAAAUACGACAACUGUCAACCCUCAAAAACCUUGGGCCUGUUUGGAAGUGAGUUUUUUGACCAAGUUUUUUACCUACUAGUUUUUUAACAACUUUUGCUACAGGAAUCCCAAAAAACUUCUUAAAGUUUUUUCCCUACACACUUCAAAAAUCUAAUAAACAAAAAAUUUUCCAAAAAUUUUUCUCUUUUUUCCUCCCUCAUCCAACCCACCAUGCCAGCCACCACCUCCACCACCUGUACCGGCGCCGGUCAUCUAAAAAUUUUUUUUUUCUGUCCUUCACCCUCACCCCCUCUCCUUUGCAGAAAGAGGAGUAACGCUGUCGUUUAUGCCGGGGGUUGGCCCGACUGUCUUUCUUUAUUUAUUGUUUUUUUUUUUUUUACAAAUCACCCAAAGUGGAGUUAGGGUUGGGGGAUCCGUUAUUUCCAUGGCGGGCAUGGAAGGAAUUGCAGCGGCGGGAGGAACUGGAAUUAGAAGUAGAAGUGGAAUAGGGGGAGGAGGAGGAGGUGUCUCAGUCUCAGAGGGGGGGAGAGGAGAGGAGCCAAAAAAAAAAAAAAGAAAAACAUAACCAAGCAGGGGCAUGGAGGUCGAACGACUGCGCGCGCAUUAUGACUGGAGUGCGCUGUGGUCGCGCUAUGAAGAAGGUGCACCAGGAGCUGGGCUGGCUGAUGCGCUUGCGGAGGAGGUCGGCGGCGCACCAGGCUCUCUGGCGCACCUGCGUUUCUGAUCAAAGAGGCGCCGGAGGUGGUGGUCGGCGCUCCAAGAAACAAGGGGAGGGAGAGGGGGGAAGGGGCAGUGGAGGAGGGGGUGGUAGGGCAGAGGAGGUGGCGGGGCAGCGGGGGAAGAGGUUGCGUGCAGAAGGGAGGGGAAGGCGGGUAGCAGGGGAAGGGGUUGUGCAGAGGGGAGGGGGAAGAGGGGGAGGGGGUGGCGGAGCAGUGAGGGAAGGGGCAGCGGUGGGAGGGGUUGGCAUGCAGAGGGGAGGGGAAAGGCAGAGGAGAGGAGGGGGGGAAAGGGAGGAGAGGGGUGGCGGGAGGGGGAAGGAAGAAGAAGAAGAAGAAAGAGAGGAAAGAAAAGAAAAAGGAAAGAAAGAAAAAGAAAAAGAAAAAGAAAGAAAAAAAGAAAAGGAAAAAAAAUUUCACCUUACAAAAACUUCUACAAAAAUUUUACCUUACAAAAACUUCUAUAAAAAAUUUUUUCACCUUUCAAAAUUUUCUACAAAAUUUUUUCAAAAACUUCUACAGUGCACUACAGUAAAGUUUUAAACAAACUCUCAAAAAACUCAGAUUCCAAACAGGCCCCUUGUUUAUACCCUGCAUACCUGAAACUCUUGAGACAAUUUUUGUGUACGAGCUUAGCUUACUUUAAUUGCAUCAAAAAUGGCUGAUUCCCAAAUUUUAACUCAAAAGCAAAACCAGUACAUGGCAAAACUAGCCCAUGAAUCCGAGCGUUACAAUGACAUGAUGAAUUACAUGAAAAAUCUUGCAUGUACAGAGGUUUCUCCAUCUUCCGAUUUAACCCUGGAGGAGCGAAGGCUACUUUUCUUGGCUUGCACGAAGGUGAUUGGCUCCCUUCGUUCUGCAUGGCGGUCUGUGGCUUCCGUGGAAGAGAAGGAACUGGUUGAACAGUAUCGAGUCAGCAUUGAAGCCGAAAUUUCGAAGUUUUGUGAUGGGAUUUUGGAGUUGUUGGAUAAAUCCUUGAUUCCUUCAGCCUCCUCGAGUGAGUCGCAGGUUUUUUACCUCACAAAGAAGGGAGAUUACGAGAGGUACUCGGCUGAAAUUAAGGAUGGUGAUGAUUUUAACUUGGCUUCUGAAAAAGCCAUGGAAUCUUAUAAUGCUGCAGAGGUAGUUUUCACAAACUUAUGCAUGCAAAAAUUACUUAUGUCCGAAUUAAUUAAGAACUCGCAAAGUUGUCUAAUUUUUCAUACAUACACAUAUUUUUUGGUAAUAUUAAAAGGCAAGCUAAAUAGUACAGGUCCCUUUUUCUUGAUGUUUUUGUUUGGGGAAUGAGAUUAUUAGGGUUUGACUUGUGUCCCCUAGUAACUUUUUCUUAUUAUUAGGAGAAUUAGAAUUGGCAUCCCUUCCCUAUAUAGAUUUUUUUUUUGCUAGAGAAAAAAAAAAGAUUAUUAGGGUUGCAUGGCAGACUUGAUUGCUCGCUGGAGUCCAAAUUACUGGGCUUAAGUUUUAAACAAGUAAAUUAUCUCCCAAUCGAUCAAGGCAAUGUGGAGGCUGACAUGCACAAUGUUGCUCAUAUGGAUGUUUCUUAUGUUUAUGUUCUGCACUAUUUCAAUUAGAGUAGUAAAAGAGGGCAAAUUGUAUGAAAAGAUUUAAGCAUUUAAUGUAUCAUUUUUAGGGGCCUAAUUAUUGUUUAUAAUAAUAUUUUCAAGUUGAUAAAUUGCUUUAUUCACUUUUUUCGUUCUUUGGAACAGAGAACUGCGUUGGCUGGCAUUCGUCCAUCGCAUCCUGUAAGGUUGGGUCUGGCUAUCAACUUGUCGGUUUUCUACUAUGAUGUCCUGGAAUCAUCGCAAGCUGCUCUUAGCACGGCCAGUUUGGUAAGUUUAUUCCCCACUGUUCCAAUAAUAUGCAGCCAUUGGAAGUACCAUAAAAGAGUUACUUAAGACCUUUUUUUCGAUAAAAGUUUGCUUUAGUUUUUAGAGCUAAAUAUGCAAUCCGAUCCAAAAACAUAUAACAUUGCAAUCUUUUAAAUUUACUGUUUAUAAAUUGUUGCUCAAAAAAUUUUCUGAAAAAUAAAGGUCAGUUUAAUCUCAGUGUUUGUGAUGGAAGCGUCCAAGAAGUCUUAAUUAUAACCAUAUGCAGUCGAUGACAUUGCUGGAUAUUUGUAUUUGAUCUCUUCUUGAACAAACUAAUAUCAUAACUCUACCUGCAGAUAAUCACACACAGCAAAAUAUCAAAUAUGCACAAGUAACUGGUAGAAAAUAAGCUGUGUCUUCUUAAAUGCAAUAAUACACACUUGAGUUUUGAGAAUGUGACAUGCAUUUACUUGCUCUUUUUAGGCUUCUAUACAUAUUGAACGUACUUGCUUCUUCACAUGAGCUAGUUGAAUUUGUUCGCUCUUUUUUUGCAGGCCUUAAGGGAUGCUCUUGCAGACAUAAAUUCAUUGCCUGAAGAACUCUACCAGGAAAGCACACAUAUGAUGCAACAACUCCAAGAUAAUCUCGAUCUUUGGAAGGAGCCUUGAACUUCUUCUUAGAUAUUGAGGAUUGUGAGUUACAGUUUUUUAAUAGGAAGAGUUAACAACAAAGCUUUUUUUUCUUUCAUUUUCACACUUUUUUCUUUAUUUUUUCCUUUUGAGACAAGGCAGUUCAAUUGCAGUAACGAAUUUCUCAGCAAUGGUAUAUGCUGGCAUGAAGGAAAUUAAACCAAGUUAUUUUAGUAUUUAGUUUCCUAAUUCUUUUAAUUUCUUGUUUUGGUAUCUUCUUUGUUUAGUUUUCAUAUUAAUUUAAGAAAUUUUAAAUCAAUUUCAAGUAAGUUUCGAUUUACAAUUGUUUCUAUUUAGGAAGUUUUGCAAUGUAUAAAUAUUAGGAGUCUAGUACAUUAUUUUUUGAAGAGUUGAGUGGAGUUUCCAAGAAUUGAGUUGAGUCUUGUUAAGUUGAGUUGAGAGAAAAGUCUCUAAGUUGAGAGUUGUGAAUUGCCUUAAAUGAAAUUGUCUUAAGCGAAAGGUAACGACUUGAUAUUAUUAUUAAGUACUUAUUUGUGUGUUUGUUCUCCUCCUCUUCUCACAUAUUUUUAUAUGUGUUAGAAUUGUUUCCGCUAUGCAUGUUUUUUUGAGCCAACAAGUGAUAUCAAUAUUCUAGACUUUGGUCCUAAUGUUUGUUCAUGAAAUUAAAGUAUGGGUUCGUAUUAUUUACAAUGUUCUGACGUUUUUAUUGUCACGCCCCGAACCCGCAUAUGCCCGUCACAUGACAUCCGCCGUACUCCCAAGUCUCACUCAAGAAUACAAGGUUACAUUAAUAACAGCCCUAAAUAAUUCAACUAAAUAAAAUGCGGUACGAAUUACAUAUAAAAAGAAGUCUACGAAUAUUCAAGACGUUCGUACAUUUAUUCUCCAAUUGAAACACGGAAACAAAAGUAAAUAAGACUAAUAACUAGAAGUAGCUAGCCUGCCAACUUCUAUGCACCUAAACUAAUAAAAGUCGUUCUCAUGGUCUUCUAUGUAAACCAAUUCAUACUCUUCCGAAUCUGCAAAAAUGGUAAGAAGUAGGUUGAGCGACACAUCGCUCAGUAGGUAAUAUUUACCCCUCUGUUGGACCAUGCACUCUUAGUUUUAUACAUAUAUAUAUAUAUAUAUAUAUAUAUAUAUAUAUAUAUAUAUAUAUAUAUAUAUAUAUGUAAGUAUAAUUCAAAUCAUUUGCAAAUCAUUCACAUCCAUAGUUUUAAAAGUAACGUCAUUUAUAAAACAAUUAGCAGUAAAGAAUGACAAGGAAUUUAAAAGCACUUUAUUGAUGCCCAUACAUGAGAAAUCGCAAUGUCAUAAACCACUUUAUAACAA
rnacentral:lncRNA from 1 species